rnacentral:rRNA from 1 species
UACGUAGGGUGCGAGCGUUAAUCGGAAUUACUGGGCGUAAAGCGUGCGCAGGCGGUUCGUUGUGUCGGCGGUGAAAGCCCCGGGCUUAACCUGGGAAUGGCCGUUGAAACUGGCGAACUGGAGUGUGGCAGAGGGGGGUGGAAUUCCGCGUGUAGCAGUGAAAUGCGUAGAUAUGCGGAGGAACACCGAUGGCGAAGGCGGCAUCCUGGACCAACACUGACACUGAGGAGCGAAAGCCAGGGGAGCAAACGGG